rnacentral:lncRNA from 1 species
UCAAACGUGUUUAACCAACGUGUUUGACCAACGUGUUUAACCAGCCAACGUGUUUAAACUACGUGUUUAACCAACAUGUUUAACCAACAUGUUUAACCAACCAACCAACCAACCAACCAAUAAAUCAUGCAUGUUUCCGUUUCAUGUGUUAAAUACGGGAUCCAAGAUGUUUUUUUUUCGCUUGUUUAAAUUGAGCCAAUCAAACGUUUUUAACCAGCCAACGUGUUUAACCAACAUGUUUAACCAACGUAUUUAACAUGGUUAACCAACGUGUUUAACCAACCAACCAACCAACCAAUCAACCAAUCAAUGCAUGUUUCCGUUUCAUGUGUUGAAAACGGGAUCCAAGAUGGGUUUUUUUUCGCUUGUUUAAAUAGAGCCUAUCCAACGUGUUUAACCAGCCAACAUGUUUAACCAACGUGUUUAAUCAGCCAACGUGUUUAACCAACAUGUUUAACCAACCAACCAACCAAUCAAUCACUUAAUGUAUGUUUCCGUGUCAUGCGUUUAAUACGGGAUGCAAGGUCUCUUGAGGUCCUUUUCCCCUUGUUCUAAGUGACCCUAUCAAACGUGUUUAAUCAACCAACCAACAAACCAACCAACCAAUCAAUCAAUCAACCAACUAAUCAAUCAAUCAAUAUGUAUGACUGUUUAUUUAUGACAGUUUAUUGAAGGAACAAACUCUCAAUUAUUCAAGAAAAUUUUUAUUUUAUUAUUGUUCUUACGUCUCUUCUGAAAAAAAAAUCCACAUAUUCUCUGAAACUACAAGUCCAAUCGACCUGAAAAUUUGCAGUCAGCAGGGCAUACAUGUACUGAAGGUUCAUAAAAAAAAAUUUUGCAGAUAUCUCUCAAGACUUUUCCUAGAAAAAAGAAAUGGCAAUGCAGUAAAAAUCGCUUGCUAGGUCCGUCAAUCUCAGUAAAAACCUACAAUAAAAUGUCCGCUCCGAGAUUGAAAUACUAAUCUGUGUUACAAACAGGUGCUGAAAAAUGGACAUUAUCAAAAAAUAAUCAUUAAAUGUGUUUUAAAGUUACACCGGAACGAUUAAAUCCAAAACAUGCACUGCUGGUGAACUGUGAUCAAAAUGUCAAUUUCCUACAAUGACAAAAGAAAUUACAUUGUGUACAUUCCAUCUCUAGACAUGUUGUCUGUUCAAGGUCCCGACCUAAAAAGAAAUUAAAAGACUAAGUUUUUCUUAAUAUAAACCCGCGUCACGUGAUGUCUCCUCAAUCUUGCGCGCGCGCUGUAUCUAAAAUAAAAGAAAAACUUUCCAAACUAAACAUGAAACUUCUCCGGUAACAUAAUAAUAUAGACCCCAUACCAAAGCAAACAAACAAACAAAUAAACAAAUACCCCCCCCCCCUUUUCCAAAUCAAUCAAUAAAAAAAAAUCAAUUAUCCAUUCAUCAGAGGGGAAAGACUGCCUAACAAUUGUUUUCAAAACAAUUGCUUUAUAUUUCUUUGAUGU